rnacentral:rRNA from 1 species
CACGAACUGUGCGAACGUUAUUCGGAAUCAUUGGGCUUAAAGAGUUCGUAGGCGGCUUAAUUAGUCGGGUGUGAAAUCCCUCGGCUCAACCGAGGAACUGCGCCCGAUACUGUUAAGCUAGAGGGAGACAGAGGUGAGCGGAACUGAUGGUGGAGCGGUGAAAUGCGUUGAUAUCAUCAGGAACACCGGUGGCGAAAGCGGCUCACUGGGUCUCUUCUGACGCUGAGGAACGAAAGCUAGGGGAGCGAACGGG